rfam:Photorhabdus luminescens subsp. laumondii TTO1 complete genome
UGGUGAAAAAUAAAAAAUUAAAAAAGUUUUACAGUAAGACUAGGAACCACCUCCUUGGCCGGCUCAAUCUCCCUUGAGCUGGCCUUUUC